rnacentral:rRNA from 1 species
CUUCGUCCCACAUGGCAUCUGAUCACGGCGCUUCCUUCCAGGACCGUGAUCCUUCGCUGCAAUAGUCCCGGGCCUCUCUACGCCGUCUGCCGCCCUCCAACAGAUGAAGCCCUCCUCACCACCACCUCGUCAUCGCUUUGGCACCGCCGCCUCGGACAUACCGGCCAUCACACCAUGUCACGCCUUCAACGGUCCAAGUUUAUCUCAUACAAUAAAGAUGGGUCGUCCCUUUGUCACGCGUGUCAGUUAAGAAAACAUGUUAGGCUUCCGUUUUAUAAUUCUACAAAAUAUACAGUUCGUCCAUUUCAGCUUUUACAUUGUGAUCUUUGGACGUCCCCCGUCCCUAGCAACUCU